AUGCAACUACCUUUGUAUUGCCCCACGACUGUUCCUAACAGCAGUAGGAAAGAACUAGAAGAGGAACUAAAAUGCUGGAUGCGUCUGACCUGGCAAGUGAGAACUGGUGAGCACAGAGUGUACUGCACAGAGCUACCAAGGGACGUGGCACGGGGUGUAUUUUGGCCUUGGGCUGGCAAAAUCUCUGCUCUUGCAAAACAAGUCAUGGCAUUCUUACUAUCUGCAAGAAGCUUGCAAGACAGGGAACGCACUGAAGAAUGUGAAAAAAACAUGCAAAACUAUUACAGAGAAACAAGUUUCCAGGCCGGGCGGUGUGUUGAGACUCUAAUGGUAACGCUAAUGCAGGGGCAGAGCCUGCCCACGCCUACACAGAGCAACCCACUCCUCCCUGCCUGCCACGCAGAAGGGAAAGGGAAGUUUGAAAAAAAAUUUGUCUGGCUGCUGGAGAGCUCCAUCUCGUGGUAAAAUUCCAGGAAGAUCUUCACAAGUAUUCCCGUCUGAAGAUCCCAACAACGUAACUUUAAUUCAAGGUUCCUGGUAUCAAGCAGAUGUUCUUCCCAGGUUCACCUUGGAUCCUGUGAACCUCAGGGGGAUCUCUGCAGUGGUGACUGCAGCCAGAGCAAGCCAAGGGUGAGAAGAAGGCAAGCCAGGACAGGGACCUCACUGUGCCCCCUACCGCAGCAGGGUGAGCAGAGAGUUCCCCUGGCAGUGCCCAGGCUCAGCCAGGCAGCUCUGUGGUCACAAGGCAGGUCCCAGAUCAAACCAGAUGUAUCUGUGGUCUCUGAUCUGUUGGUUGCAAUUCCAAUAAGUGAGUUUAUUACCUGCCUACAGACUCUUUCAUUUUCUGAACUGUAAAAACGCGUGCUGCUUUAUGCGUACGAGAGCAGCAGCGUUCCUUUGUCUGAAAGGCUUUCAACAUCUGAAUGUAGGAGAGCUGGUAUCCCACUUCUGUCACAAAGCGACGUGGUAAAGGAGGAGUAAGAGCAGCAGAACCAGUCCAUCUGAACCACGGGUUUAAAUUUGAGAAGGACCUGAAUGACAGCAUCUAAAAUUUCAACACAGUUUGAUUUUCCACCCACAGUUCACUUUUAUUCAUCUCUGUGGUUUUGCUGCGGACUAGUCUAAGGACUAGUUUCAAAACUUUAGCUGUAGACUUGGGUUGAGAUGCAGAAAUCCAGAAAAUCCUGUUAUGAUGAGGCUCCGUGUCAGCCCUUACCUAAGCACAACUUCCCUUGGGCCCAGAGAGCAUUGCUUCAGUCUGAACUUCCGAAGUAUGCCCAAAAAUAGGAAUGAAGCACGUCUUGGCAAGGGCAACAAUUCCUCAUAUUUAUGAAAGCAAUCCUGGGGCAUGAGGACAUUUUCAAAACUAGCAUCCAGUUAUGUGUAUUUUGGGAAAAAAAAUGGAGACAUACUUCAACAGAGAAUAAGAAUGUGGUAUUCCGCCAGUCUCAUUUUCCUGAAUCUCAUUUUCAUGCCCGAUGAAAGGAAAGCGCAUCCGGAUCA
rnacentral:lncRNA from 1 species